rnacentral:rRNA from 1 species
UACGUAGGGGGCAAGCGUUGUCCGGAUUUAUUGGGCGUAAAGAGCGUGUAGGCGGCCAGGUAGGUCCGUUGUGAAAACUCGAGGCUCAACCUCGAGACGCCGAUGGAAACCAUCUGGCUAGAGUCCGGAAGAGGAGAGUGGAAUUCCCGGUGUAGCGGUGAAAUGCGCAGAUAUCGGGAAGAACACCGGUGGCGAAGGCGGCUCACUGGCUCGUUUCUGACGCUCAGGCGCGACAGCGUGGGGAUCAAACAGG